AGCGAACGCUGGCGGCAGGCUUAACACAUGCAAGUCGAACGGGCGUCCUCGGGCGUCAGUGGCAGACGGGUGAGUAACACGUGGGAACGUACCCUUCGGUUCGGAACAACUCAGGGAAACUUGAGCUAAUACCGGAUACGCCCUUUUGGGGUAAAGGUUUACUGCCGAAGGAUCGGCCCGCGUCUGAUUAGCUAGUUGGUGAGGUAAUGGCUCACCAAGGCGACGAUCAGUAGCUGGUCNGAGAGGAUGAUCAGCCACACUGGGACUGAGACACGGCCCAGACUCCUACGGGAGGC
rnacentral:rRNA from 1 species